GAACUCUAUAAGUUUGUACUUCCUCAAUAUGUUACUUAGUAUUCUCUGAAAAAUUGCAGGUGAGGUCUUGAGGCCAAAAGGUUAAGCAAGUCCAUUGAAAAUGUACCUCUUGUGUUAUAAAAGCAGUAUCUUCGAUUCGCAAUUGACCAAAAAGCAGAAUUAAUGUCUAAUGUUGAAUAACAAAUUGCAAUCCGUUAUCUUUACUACUAGGUCGUCAAUAAGUGUAAAUGGUUAAUACAUAACGAUCGUACAUGUGGUUUCACUAAAGAAUGAAAAAAAAAGUCUUAGGAUAAUGUGGGUGGGUGCAGCUACUGUUAUCGAUAAUUUAAUUUUUAUCUGUUAGCAACGAUUAAUCAU